rnacentral:rRNA from 1 species
GAUCCCUUAUAUAAAGAAAGGAAGUUAGUUUCCGCUUUAAGAUGAUAAUAAAUAUCUCGGAUAAGUAGUAGUUAAGGUAAUGGCUUAACUAGCUUAAGUCCGUAGUCGAGACUGAGAGGUCGAUCGAUCACAUUGGGUCUGAAAAAACCCCAAUACGUAUAGUACAGCAGUGAGGAAUAUUGGUCAAUGGCCUAACGGCUGAACCAGCAACUUGGAGGAAUGUAUAGCGCAAGCUAGUUGUAUUGACAUAUAGUUGGUACAACCUCGACUACGUCGAAUAAAGUUCUAGGUAGAAUAAUGAUGAUGACAAUUUUCUAUCUAUAUGUCUUGACCAAAUCACGUGCCAGCAGUCGCGGUAAUACGUGGAAGACUAGUGUUAUUCAUCUUUAAUAGGUUUAAAGGGUACCUAGACGGUUAUUUUCGCCCUAGAAGGGUACGAAUUCAACUAGAGUUUUGAUGUGAGAGGGUGAGUACUUUUGGUGUAGAGAUGAAAUUCUGUCAUACUAAGAGGAAACUGAUAACGGCGAAAGCAACCCUCUAUGUAUAAACUGACGUUGAGGGACGAAGGCUUGGGUAGCAAACAGGAUUAGAUACCCUAGUAGUCCAGGCAGACAAUAAUGAAUGCUAUAGAUUAGAUUAAAUUUGGUCUAUAAAUGAAAGUGUAAGCAUUUCACCUCAAGAGUAAUGUGGCAACGCAGGAACUGAAAUCAUUAGACCGUUUCUGAAACCAGUAGUGAAGUAUGUUAUUUAAUUCGAUGACCCGCGAAAAACCUUACCACAAUUUGAAUAUUAUAUAUAUUUAUAUAAUACAAGCGUUGCACGGCUGUCUUCAGUUAAUGUCGUGAGAUUUUGGUUAGUUCCAUUAAAUUAACGUAAACCCUUGCUUUAUUUAUUAUUUUAUUUAUUAUAAAGCCAGUUCACCGCUAUAUUGGAUAUGAUAAAA